CCCUUAGACGUUCUGGGCCGCACGCGCGCUACACUGACUAGUCCAACGAGUGUUUGUACCUUUGCUGAUAGGCAUGGGCAAUCUCUGAACACUAGUCGUGAUAGGGAUCGAUUUUUGGAAUUAUUAAUCGUCAACGAGGAAUUCCUAGUAAACGCGAGUCAUCAGCUCGCAUUGAUUACGUCCCUGCCCUUUGUACACACCGCCCGUCGCACCUACCGAUUGAAUGGUCCGGUGAAGCCUCCGGAUUGGCGCGCACCUCGGUGCCGCCGAGAAGUUGGCUAAACCUUACCAUUUAGAGGAAGGUGAAGUCGUAACA
rnacentral:rRNA from 1 species